GUAUUGCUGAGGAGUCCCACAAUAGGACGAGACGGCUGUCCCGUGC
rnacentral:hammerhead_ribozyme from 1 species